rnacentral:rRNA from 1 species
UACAGAGGUGGCAAGCGUUGUUCGGAAUUACUGGGCGUAAAGGGCGCGUAGGCGGCCUUCUAAGUCAGACGUGAAAUCCCCCGGCUUAACCUGGGAACUGCGUCUGAUACUGGAAGGCUUGAGUCCGAUAGAGGUGGGUGGAAUUCCUAGUGUAGAGGUGAAAUUCGUAGAUAUUAGGAAGAACACCGGUGGCGAAGGCGGCCCACUGGAUCGGUACUGACGCUGAGGUGCGAAAGCGUGGGGAGCAAACAGG